CUACGGGAGGCAGCAGUGAGGAAUAUUGCACAGUGGGGGGAACCCUGAUGCAGCAACGCCGCGUGGAGGAUGACGCAUUUCGGUGUGUAAACUCCUUUUAUAUGUCAAGAAAAUGACGGUAGCAUAUGAAUAAGCACCGGCUAACUCCGUGCCAGCAGCCGCGGUAAUACGGAGGGUGCAAGCGGUACUCGGAAUCACUGGGCGUAAAGGACGCGUAGGCGGGUUGGAAAGUCAGGUGUGAAAUCCUACAGCUUAACUGUAGAACUGCACUUGAAACUUCUAAUCUAGAGUAUGGGAGGGGGAGAUGGAAUUAGGGGUGUAGGGGUAAAAUCCGUAGAUAUCACUAGGAAUACCUAAAGCGAAGGCGAUCUCCUGGAACAUUACUGACGCUAAGGCGUGAAAGCGUGGGGAGCAAACAGGAUUAGAUACCCCAGUAGUC
rnacentral:rRNA from 1 species